UACGUAGGGUCCGAGCGUUGUCCGGAAUCAUUGGGCGUAAAGAGCGUGUAGGCGGCCACUUAAGUCCUGCGUGAAAUCUUGCGGCUCAACCGCAAGCGGUCGUGGGAAACUGGGUGGCUAGAGUGCGGGAGAGGGGAGUGGAAUUCCUGGUGUAGCGGUGGAAUGCGCAGAUAUCAGGAAGAACACCCGUGGCGAAGGCGGCUCUCUGGAACGCAACUGACGCUGAGACGCGAAAGCGUGGGGAGCAAACAGG
rnacentral:rRNA from 1 species